CCUACGGGAGGCAGCAGUGGGGGAUAUUGCACAAUGGGGGAAACCCUGAUGCAGCGACGCCGCGUGGGUGAAGAAGCGCCUCGGCGCGUAAAGCCCUGUCAGCAGGGAAGAAAAUGACGGUACCUGAAGAAGAAGCCCCGGCUAACUACGUGCCAGCAGCCGCGGUAAUACGUAGGGGGCAAGCGUUAUCCGGAUUUACUGGGUGUAAAGGGGGCGCAGACGGGGAUGCAAGCCAGGAGUGAAAGCCCGGGGCCCAACCCCGGGACUGCUCUUGGUACUGCGUGGCUAGAGUGCAGGAGGGGCAGGCGGAAUUCCUGGUGUAGCGGUGAAAUGCGUAGAUAUCAGGAGGAACACCGGUGGCGAAGGCGGCCUGCUGGACUGCAACUGACGUUGAGGCCCGAAAGCGUGGGGAGCAAACAGGAUUAGAUACCCCAGUAGUC
rnacentral:rRNA from 1 species